GAUCACAGUUUUUGAAAUUUUAAAUGAGCAUUGGCUUUAAUUUAAAGUCACCAGCUGCAUUAGCCUCUAAGAAGAGAGUCAGCCUGUACUUUGAAGAUUUAAUGCCAGGCAUUGACUUCUCCUCAGUAGCUAUGAAAGUCC